AAUGAACGUUGGCGGCGUGGAUUAGGCAUGCAAGUCGCGCGAGAAAUUUCCUUCGGGAAAUGGACAGCGGCGGAAGGGAGAGGAAUAAGUAGAAACCUGCCCUCGGGACGGGGAUAGCGGUGGGAAACUGCCGGUAAUACCCGAUAACAUCUUUGGAUCAAAUGGUGUGAUUCCGCCUGAGGAUGAGUCUACUUCCUAUUAGCUAGUUGGUGGGGUAAUGGCCUACCAAGGCAACGAUGGGUAGCGGGUGUGAGAGCACGACCCGCCUCACUGGGACUGAGACACUGCCCAGACACCUACGGGUGGCUGCAGUCGAGAAUCUUCGGCAAUGGGGGAAACCCUGACCGAGCGACGCCGCGUGCGGGAUGAAGGCCCUUGGGUUGUAAACCGCUGUCGUAAGGGAACAAAUCCAUAGGGGUACUCCCCUAUGGUUGAGUGAUCUUAGGAGGAAGGACGGGCUAAGUUCGUG
rnacentral:rRNA from 1 species